rnacentral:rRNA from 1 species
CGAACAGACGAGGAGCUUGCUUCUCUGACGUUAGCGGCGGACGGGUGAGUAACACGUGGAUAACCUACCUAUAAGACUGGGAUAACUUCGGGAAACCGGAGCUAAUACCGGAUAAUAUAUUGAACCGCAUGGUUCAAUAGUGAAAGACGGUUUUGCUGUCACUUAUAGAUGGAUCCGCGCCGCAUUAGCUAGUUGGUAAGGUAACGGCUUACCAAGGCAACGAUGCGUAGCCGACCUGAGAGGGUGAUCGGCCACACUGGAACUGAGACACGGUCCAGACUCCUACGGGAGGCAGCAGUAGGGAAUCUUCCGCAAUGGGCGAAAGCCUGACGGAGCAACGCCGCGUGAGUGAUGAAGGUCUUCGGAUCGUAAAACUCUGUUAUUAGGGAAGAACAAAUGUGUAAGUAACUAUGCACGUCUUGACGGUACCUAAUCAGAAAGCCACGGCUAACUACGUGCCAGCAGCCGCGGUAAUACGUAGGUGGCAAGCGUUAUCCGGAAUUAUUGGGCGUAAAGCGCGCGUAGGCGGUUUUUUAAGUCUGAUGUGAAAGCCCACGGCUCAACCGUGGAGGGUCAUUGGAAACUGGAAAACUUGAGUGCAGAAGAGGAAAGUGGAAUUCCAUGUGUAGCGGUGAAAUGCGCAGAGAUAUGGAGGAACACCAGUGGCGAAGGCGACUUUCUGGUCUGUAACUGACGCUGAUGUGCGAAA